rnacentral:rRNA from 1 species
GACGAACGCUGGCGGCGCGCCUAACACAUGCAAGUCGAACGGAGCUGAGAGAAGCUUGCUUUUCUUAGCUUAGUGGCGAACGGGUGAGUAACGCGUGAGUAACCUGCCCUGGAGUGGGGGACAACAGUUGGAAACGACUGCUAUACCGCAUAAGCCCACGAUCCGGCAUCGGAUUGAGGGAAAAGGAUUUAUUCGCUUCAGGAUGGACUCGCGUCCAAUUAGCUAGUUGGUGAGGUAACGGCCCACCAAGGCGACGAUUGGUAGCCGGACUGAGAGGUUGAACGGCCACAUUGGGACUGAGACACGGCCCAGACUCCUACGGGAGGCAGCAGUGGGGGAUAUUGCACAAUGGGGGAAACCCUGAUGCAGCGACGCCGCGUGGAGGAAGAAGGUUUUCGGAUUGUAAACUCCUGUCGUUAGGGACGAUAAUGACGGUACCUAACAAGAAAGCACCGGCUAACUACGUG